rnacentral:rRNA from 1 species
GAUGAACGCUGGCGGCGUGCCUAAUACAUGCAAGUCGAGCGAACAGACGAGGAGCUUGCUCCUCUAACGUUAGCGGCGGACGGGUGAGUAACACGUGGAUAACCUACCUAUAAGACUGGGAUAACUUCGGGAAACCGGAGCUAAUACCGGAUAAUAUAUUGAACCGCAUGGUUCAAUAGUGAAAGACGGUUUUGCUGUCACUUAUAGAUGGAUCCGCGCCGCAUUAUCUAGUUGGUAAGGUAACAGCUUACCAAGGCAACGAUGCGUAGCCGACCUGAGAGGGUGAUCGGCCACACUGGAACUGAGACACGGUCCAGACUCCUACGGGAGGCAGCAGUAGGGAAUCUUCCGCAAUGGGCGAAAGCCUGACGGAGCAAAGCCGCGUGAGUGAUGAAGGUCUUCGGAUCGUAAAACUCUGUUAUUAGGGAAGAACAAAUGUGUAAGUAACUAUGCACGUCUUGACGGUACCUAAUCAGAAAGCCACGGCUAACUACGUG